UCAGAACGUACGCUGGCGGCACGCCUAACACAUGCAAGUCGAACGAAGUAGCAAUACUUAGUGGCGAACGGGUGAGUAUAAUGUGGGUAUCUGCCCUUUGGUUUGGAAUAACACGAGGAAACUUGUGCUAAUACUGAAUAAGCCCUUACGGGGAAAGCUUUAGCGCCGAAGGAUGAGCUCGCACUUGAUUAGCUAGUUGGUAGGGUAAUGGCCUACCAAGGCAACGAUCAAUAGCUGAUCUGAGAGGAUGAUCAGCCACAUUGGGACUGAGACACGGCCCAAACUCNUACGGGAGGCAGCAGUGGGGAAUCUUGCACAAUGGGGGAAACCCUGAUGCAGCGAUGCCGCGUGAGUGAAGAAGGCCUUUGGGUUGUAAAGCUCUUUCGUCGGGGAAGAAAAUGACUGUACCCGAAUAAGAAGGUCCGGCUAACUUCGUGCCAGCAGCCGCGGUAAUACGAAGGGACCUAGCGUAGUUCGGAAUUACUGGGCUUAAAGAGCUCGUAGGUGGUUAGAAAAGUUGGUGGUGAAAUCCCAAGGCUUAACCUUGGAACUGCCAUCAAAACUUUUUAACUAGAGUAUGAUAGAGGUAAGCGGAAUUUCUAGUGUAGAGGUGAAAUUCGUAGAUAUUAGAAAGAACACCAAUUGCGAAGGCAGCUUUCUGGAUCAUAACUGACACUGAGGAGCGAAAGCAUGGGUAGCGAAGAGGAUUAGAUACCCUCGUAGUCCAUGCUGUAAACGAUGUGUGCUAGACGUUGGAAACUUAGUUUYCAGUGUCGCAGCAAAAGCGUUAAGCACACCGCCNGGGGAGUACGACCGCAAGGUUAAACUCA
rnacentral:rRNA from 1 species